AUUCAAACCACCAAACUUGGAGAUAAGGGACUAUUCUUGGGUUCCAGUCAAAAGAUAGGUGGCUUGGCUAAGGCAGCAGCUGUGGGGGAGACUUAAAGCAGCCAUGAGAACGAUUCUGAGCAGCCCCAUUUCAAAGGGAUACCCAGCCAUUUUAUGAGGCAAGAUGGCCCAGGAAGGAGAGGCAGGUUCUUUAGCUGUGUGGUCUUGGGUGAAUGCUGUGUGAAGAUAGCUAUCCUGGAGGCCUGCUGGAUUCCUUUAGUGGAAAAUAGGAAGACUUACCAGUUGACCUGGCGCUACUGUCUACACCGACUUCCAGUUCAGAAAAAGCAAAUUCUCAGAAGACUCUCAGGAAGUAGUGUUAGACCCAUGACAUUGACCGCCAUGUAGUUCAGGGGCCCAGAGCCGAGGUGAGAAAGUGAGGAUGUAAGAACUUAAAGGUAUUUCUAGGCAUAGAGUUUUAAAGGAGAACACAGAGAGGAAGCAAGAGGAACAGGGCACGCUGGGAACAAGGAAACGCUUGAAAAGGUAAAGGAAGCCUGGGUUGAAAGAGAAGCCUAUGGCCCUGAAUCCGGAAAACUGAUUCGGGAUUAGCAGGUUCCAAGCCUCCCCACAUUGGUUGCGCACAGCAUGAUCCAUCUUCACACUCCCAGCACCUACUCCCGGGGGCAUCAUGACAGAUGGACAGCAGUAGACAUUAAAAUCACAGUAGGCUGGAGCCAGGCUCUUUCCCCAAUAUCCACAUCCCCUCCCCUUUCAGGAUCCCUUCUAGAAGCUUCUCAAGCUCCAGGGAGCCAUCUGCACUGGCUCAGACGUGGCAGAGAAGGAAUUAAAACGUGAGAGGCAAGAUCAGAGAGAGACUUGCUCCCCUCAAGAACCUCUUAAGUAGAGGGAAAAAGGCAGGCAAUUUUUAAUCAUCACGGAUUGUUUAAACUUCUGAAUCCGUCUUCUGCGGAGCCUAGGGAGCACCCAUUGUGGCUGGUACCCAGCAGUAGUCCUUGGUCCACCUACCCCCAACAGUCACACACAUUUCCUGGACCCUUCUGUAGGUCCUCCCAGGGUCCUUGCUAGGCCAGGCCAGCAGGACCCUGCUUAUCUAAGGAGAUCUGACAAGACUGCAGCCCUGGGGGUAUGGCUGCUGGCGAAACAUAUGGUACAUCGUAAAUAGGACUUCCUUUUAGGAAAUGAGCUGCUGUAAUUAAAUCCCCAUUCAUUUUUCUGUAACAUACACACAGAGACAAAUAGAUCUUUAUCCUUUAGAAGCUCCGAAGAGAAAAGGCUUGUGGGGAGCUGAGAUUCUCAACUGUGACUUUUAUAAAAGAUUGCUUAGAUCCAGGUGAAAUAAGAAGUCCCUUUUUUGGGGGGGGGGGGGGUGGAGUGGGGGGGGGUGGAGUCCUCUGUUUAACAGUCCUUGCUGUCCUGGAACUCACUUUGUUUACUUUGUAGACAAGGCUAGCCGAGAACUCACAGAAAUAUGCCUGCCUCUGCCACCCAAAUUAUUGAGAUUAAAGGCAUGUGCCACUACU
rnacentral:lncRNA from 1 species